rnacentral:lncRNA from 1 species
AUGUACGCUCUGUAUUCUUUUAUUGCAGUCCUCCAUGAUUAUGAAAAUCAAACCCUUCUUAGGAGCGAUGCAGCAUCCAAAGGCCUGUCAUCCUGUGGUGGUAUUACACAAGAGCUCACACCAGGCUCCUCCGUGGGCAAGCUGGGAUCAGAUGACUACGAUGAGCAGCGUACGCAUGUGAGCAGUCAAAGCCUAUAUUGUACUGAAUGGAGCCCUACCUGUGGGAUAGGUUCAGGUGAAUCCAGGUAAGACAACCUUUUUCCCCUGGCCCAUAUGAGCUGCUGAUUUACACGGGCCUUCCUUUUUUGCAUUUCACUUCCUGGUUCUGGAGUCAGCUUUAGUGAUCACGCUUUCAGUGACACAGGCUUGUGUAAGAGCAGGCGCACGAUAUGUCACAGUGCCCCUGGAUGUGUGCGUUUUCAAGAAAGUGCGUCGUGUUUCCUGCUAAAGCCUGAACGGGGGCCGGCUCAAUUAGACGUGUUGGUGGCACAGAUUGGCGCGGGUUGUGUCAGCAGGCGGCCUCUGCUGUCCCGGGAGGCCGCCAUCUUUGGUUAACGGC